AUAGUGAUGUCAUGAGCGAAGGAAGUGGUGUAACAAAUCUUUUGAGCCUACGAACAGAAACCUGAUGAGGCUAAAUGGUGGAUAAGGUUACACAACAAACCGAAGUCCAAAAGGUAAACGUAAAACCAAGACAGUAAAUCAGGAGGUUGUGAAGAGAAAGAUAU
rnacentral:ncRNA from 1 species